rnacentral:sRNA from 1 species
AAUCACAUUUCCAUGAGCUGACCCAUAGUCGCUUCAGAACUGAAAGAUGCCAUAAUGAUACAUUCUGUUUUGAAGUUUGCGAGUCAUUGUGUGAGCCCAGCCAAUGAAAAACGUGUUGUCCUAUUGGUCCAACAAACUCAGUUGUACAACAUCCCAGGCUCCUUGUAUGAUGUCCUGGAAGACUCACGAAUCAUUGUCAUCUCUGAUCUGUCUGCUCACCUGGACUACGUACAGAGACAAGAAAUUAAACAAUGUCUUAGAUAUAUCCGAUGAACAUGAUAAUAGAAACGGACUUUUAAAUGCUGACUCUUAGAAGAAAUAAUAAAAAUUAAAAAUGUUGAAGUCA